rnacentral:lncRNA from 1 species
UUUUUUUUAGAUAAACCCUAUCGGCUGAUCCAGUCAGCCUCGGUAGAAACGCACCGAAGUGCUUCAGAGUGGACUUCUCCCCGAAGGGCCACCACACUGUCUAUCCCGAGUUUGGAAUGCUUUCCGACUAAUGCCAGGGGGUAGUCAGGCCGCCUGCAUUUCUGACUACCAGGUAAACCAACUGGGCCUUGGCCCAAUUGACAGACUUCCCACACAACUAUGAUUUUUGUUUUCAGGGUGGAUCGAACCUGUGUUAGUUCCUUCCAACCUUUCCCCAAUUCUCUCUUACCACUGGACCACAGCUGUGUGGGCAAAACCUUUUUAACUUAACAUCGUCUUUCUUACUUAUUGUCUCUAAGACUAGCUUUGAAGGGAUUACAAACAACUCCAAGGAAAACAAACUCUACGGCGAUUAGGACAAAGAUUUACCUAUGCACGUCAAUUUUCAGAAAUUAAAAAUAAUUUUAGUUCUUUUAUUUAGUUUUUUUUUUUGGUUUUUUAAGGUAUCGUAUAUUCUAACAAAUUGAUUAUUGAAUUGACAAUCUCGUAUAUGAUAUUGUACCAGUAUAUAAUUAAAUGUUUCAAAUAUGAUAUUGUACCUUUAUAAAGUAAGUAUUUUAAAAAACAUUGACUAAGGGUGAUCAUCUUUUACUUUCUUUUGGACAUUUUCAGAAAUUAAAACAAUUUUGAAAAUGUA